rnacentral:sRNA from 1 species
AUCAUUUUCGUCAAUUUUUUUUUUCAAUAAAUUUAAAGGGUUUAGUUGGAGAAUUUUGAUUGAUUUCAUUAAUGUAUUAAUUUGACAUUCCUUUCAUAUACCAAGUCUGUUUGGUACCAGUCAUUAUGUCCUUUGACUUUUAAUUAGAUGAAGGGGUAGUGGCUGGAUUUUAUAAGUCUAAUUAACUUUUGUUCAACCAUGCAAUAACCGCCAGUUUUGUUGGAAACAAUAAAAACAAAGCUUUGCUGAUCAACCUUUUUGACAUUCCAGUAACUGUUAUUUUUGCUAACUCUCUGUUACAUGCAUAUGAUAUAUGUAUAUUUCAUGUUAUGGAAUAAAUUCUUUAUAGAUCAUUC